rnacentral:rRNA from 1 species
UACGUAGGGAGCAAGCGUUGUUCGGAUUUACUGGGCGUAAAGGGCGCGUAGGCGGCGCGGUAAGUCACUUGUGAAAUCUCUGAGCUUAACUCAGAACGGCCAAGUGAUACUGCAGUGCUAGAGUGCAGAAGGGGCAAUCGGAAUUCUUGGUGUAGCGGUGAAAUGCGUAGAUAUCAAGAGGAACACCUGAGGUGAAGACGGGUUGCUAGGCUGACACUGACGCUGAGGCGCGAAGGCCAGGGGAGCAAACGGG